rnacentral:rRNA from 1 species
UACGUAGGGGGCAAGCGUUAUCCGGAAUUACUGGGUGUAAAGGGUGCGUAGGUGGUAUGGCAAGUCAGAAGUGAAAACCCAGGGCUUAACUCUGGGACUGCUUUUGAAACUGCCAGACUGGAGUGCAGGAGAGGUAAGCGGAAUUCCUAGUGUAGCGGUGAAAUGCGUAGAUAUUAGGAGGAACAUCAGUGGCGAAGGCGGCUUACUGGACUGAAACUGACACUGAGGCACGAAAGCGUGGGGAGCAAACAGG